rnacentral:rRNA from 1 species
GCGAGUGAAGUGGGAAAAGCUCAAAUUUUAAAUCUGCCUGGCACAACCAGGUCGAGUUGUAAUUUGAAGAAGCGCUUUCGGUGUUUUGAUCUGGUUAAAGUUCUUUGGAACAAGACAUCAUGGAGGGUGAGAAUCCCGUGCAUGAUCAGAUCGAAAUACUCCAGAUGCGCUCUCUAAGAGUCGAGUUGUUUGGGAAUGCAGCUCAAAUUGGGUGGUAGACUUCACCUAAGGCUAAAUAUCAGCGAGAGACCGAUAGCGAACAAGUACCGUGAGGGAAAGAUGAAAAGAACUUUGAAAAGAGAGUUAAACAGUACGUGAAAUUGUUGAAAGGGAAACGAUUGAAGUCAGUCGUGCCAUUGAGAAAUCAGCCUGGUGGGUUUUUGGGUUCGUGGGUUGAGGUAGGGUCAAACCAUCUCUCUUUCGGACUCGAUGCUUACCCGGUGUACUUUCUUUUUGGCAGGUCAACGUCGAUUUUGGGGGUUGUAAAAUAACUGGGGGAAUGUAGCUCCUUUCGGGGAGUGUUAUAGACCCUGGGGGAUGCAACCCGUGGGAUCGAGGAUUGCAGCAAAUGCUUCAUCGCUUGUCGCCUGCCCGCUGGACGUCGCCCCGCUUGUGACAAUAUUUCUUGACACAUUGUGGGACUUGUCGGUUACCGGUUAGAGCGAUCUAAAAUUUGCUAAGGAUGU